UACGUAGGGGGCUAGCGUUGUCCGGAAUCAUUGGGCGUAAAGCGCGUGUAGGCGGCCCGGUAAGUCCGCUGUGAAAGUCGGGGGCUCAACCCUCGAAUGCCGGUGGAUACUGUCGGGCUAGAGUGCGGGAGAGGCGAGUGGAAUUCCUGGUGUAGCGGUGAAAUGACGCAGAUAUCAGGAGGAACACCAAUUGCGAAGGCAGCUCGCUGGAACGUAACUGACGCUGGAGACGCGAAAGCGUGGGGAGCAAACAGG
rnacentral:rRNA from 1 species